AAAAAGCUCAGCCAAUAAGAGAUUCGGCGGAGACAGAAGUACUAUAGCGACACGUCAAUCAAUUACCGUAGCAUGGACUCGUCUUUCAAGCACAAAACGCCCUGGUAUCUUUAUAGGUUUUACAUACAUUUUCCCAUCAAGCUUCAAUUUAUCCAUACAUUUCUGAUUUUUGAUUGAGUAGGCCUAUCGUUAAUUUAAGGCUCCGCUUCUCUAAAGGGACGGACUUUAUCACCACUGGAUAAUUUGUCAGAAGAGCUACCAGUACAGAAGACGCGCUGGUAAUUCUCUCGACUACGAAAGGAUCUCUUACAACAGGUUAUCCCAGCGGAACCAUGGAAAUGGAGUAAAACUACAGGAAAAAAUGUGGAGGUGCAUUUCAGGAAGAGGAUAACAUUCAUGUGGAGGGAAGCGACGUCAGGAGCUCUGCUUGAAGGAUGAGGGUGUAAUCGGGUCUCUGGUCGACAAGCUGGAGACGACUGCGAUGGGGGAGUGAUGUGUUGAGCUUAAGCCAAAAUACGGCAUAAUGUGCAAAAUCGAGAACUGGGUAGCGGAUAAAAGGAAACAUGUCCACUGCUGUCACGACUGGAACGACAAGGAGAUUGUCAUGUUGUACAAAUAUUUGACAUCAAAAUGUUUUGCUUCACCAGCCUCUAAGAGACUACCUCAGAAAGAACACUGAAUGGUUGGCUGAAAAUGAAGGAGUGGGUGGACAGACCUGACCUCCAGCACUCCCUGGGACCCCCUUCAGUGGCGGCCUGGAGAGCAGAAGCAGAGGCCCUGCAUGGAGCACAACGCUUAGAGAAGGAAACCGAGGUGAAAAAAAGACUGUGCAGACUCCAAGAAGGGCUUCAUUAUGGCUGAGGUAAUGAAAUUCCAGGAUUUUUAAAGAGGGAAGCAACGAGAGUGCUUGUCAAGGUAAGGUGAUGGGGUGCGGGCUGAGACGGGGGAAGUCUCCUGCGAUCGGACGAGCUGACAGCCGCUGCAGCACUCUGACCACAAACGUACCUCACCUUUCCCCUGGGGAGGAAAUUACUGUGUGCCCGCCACACCUGACGAGCGCCCACAUUCUGCAUUUGCUGUAUAUCGUUCAGGUAAAAUGGCUCAAGCACCCCAAUUCUACUCCUGCUCUACAUAUGCAUAUCAUAGUGCAGGUAAAAGGGCUCACAUAAAACCUGUUAUUUCUCCUCCAAAUGUAUGAACUAUGAAAACAAAAGCAAGGCUUUAUUUCCUCACCUUUCCACAUGCAUGCUCUCAUUAUUUAGAAGUAUAGUUAUGUAUAUCAUAAUAUUUCAGAAUAUUUACCUCUAGGUUCCUAAGUCAAGGUAGCGCAGUGACUGUAAUAGGAAAAGGCAAGUUAAACAAAGUGUGUAAUCCAUAACAUGAGAACUGUUUCACGGAUGAACAGCGCAUAAAAAUGUCUCAUGUCUUCUUUUAUCGCAGAUAAAUACACGUUCAACCUUUUUACUGGGCGGUGUUGCUGUUAUGUGGGCGCUUCUCCCAGGAUUGGAGUCAGUGAGUAUGUUUCCAGGGCAAGUUUAUUUAGCAGUCGGCCCCUAAAACAUCACAGGUGAACUCGAACAAAAGCAGUUUGUCACAUCUACAAGAGGAGUAGUGCGAAUGGUGUUGUCUUUAGAGGUGAUUUCUGCUCUCUAGGGGGAGUAACUGAGAGACGCCAGCCACUGCUCGCUACAUCCGUCCUUGUUGAGGCAAAGUUAUAAUUCUGAGCUUGUCUUUAUUUCCACAGGAGGGCUCAAGGUAAGGAGCAACGUUCUAAAGCGCUCAGUGUCACAUAAUGGAUUACGGCUAAUUUCUGUGCUUCUCGGUGUGAUUUUACAGGUCAGAUUUUACUGGUUUAUCUCUGCACUCCUGCCCUAGAGAACGAAAGACCUCUGUGGCUCACGGGCGUCUAAACGGAAGUGGCUGGCUCCCGUUAGGAGAGGAGGGGUGCAAUGAAGGGAUCAUUAUGUUGGUCAUCCCGUUAAUUAAGCUUCAGGUGCAACCAAGCACAUCAUGUGGCCAGUGGUGCACAUCCAAUUGGAGAUUAGGUCACAUGCUGGCAAUACAUCAACUCACAUAAAUACGCACAGGAAAAACAUGAACUCCAGGAUACGUCCUGCUGUCUGAAAUAUCGCUGCUUCUAGUCGGGCAUAACAAGGAAGGCUUGCUCUCUGCUUCAGCCUUUGGCUUAAACGAUCUCUUGCAGGGAUCUAGUGCAAAGCAGAGAUCACACGCCAGUUUGACCCCCUGUGAAUUGCUGUCAAAAUGGAAAUCUCAGACAGUGCCUUUUGUUCAGGAUAUUAGUGUAUAAUUGAGAUAGGGCCUUUAACCCUGAUUAAAGUGCAGAAAGAACAGCACACUCAAUACACAGAGAGGGAAAAUGGAUCCCACCACCACCACUGAAGGGACAUCACACAACUCAGACUGCUGUCUGCACAACAUAGAAUUGGAACUGUUUCUAUACUCAUAUGGGUGUCGGUAAAAAUGCAAUUGAAUUAAAUUAUAGCUAGAAAAGGCAGCCGUGUUUUUUAGACAUUGUAUGCUGUAUGCAUUAAUUUGCAGUGGUAUUACAUUCAAAUAACUGCCAGAG